UACGUAGGGUGCAAGCGUUGUCCGGAAUUAUUGGGCGUAAGAGCUCGUAGGCGGUUUGUCGCGUCUGCUGUGAAAACCCGAGGCUCAACCUCGGGCCUGCAGUGGGUACGGGCAGACUAGAGUGUGGUAGGGAGACUGGAAUUCCUGGUGUAGCAGUGAAAUGCGUAGAUAUCAGGAGGAACACCGAUGGCGAAGGCCAGGUCUC
rnacentral:rRNA from 1 species